rnacentral:rRNA from 1 species
UGGGGAAUUUUGGACAAUGGGCGAAAGCCUGACGCAGCGACGCCGCGUGGGGGAUGAAGCUUCUCGGAGUGUAAACCCCUUUCGAUCCUGACGAAACGCCUCGCAAGAGGAAUUGACGGUAGGGAGAGAAGAAGCCCCGGCUAACUACGUGCCAGCAGCCGCGGUAAGACGUAGGGGGCCAGCGUUGCUCGGAAUUACUGGGCGUAAAGGGUUCGUAGGCGGUGCGGCAAGUCUCGAGUGAAAUCUCUGGGCUCAACCCAGAGGCUGCUCGGGAAACUGCUGUGCUCGAGUCCGGGAGAGGCGCGUGGAAUUGCAGGUGUAGCGGUGAAAUGCGUAGAUAUCUGCAGGAACACCAGAGGCGAAAGCGGCGCGCUGGACCGGUACUGACGCUGAGGAACGAAAGCUAGGGGAGCAAACAGGAUUAGAUACCCCCGUAGUCCCUGAGCGGGCUGGCAAGGCGCAU